rnacentral:rRNA from 1 species
UACGUAGGGGGCAAGCGUUGUCCGGAUUUAUUGGGCGUAAAGAGCGUGUAGGCGGCCAGGUAGGUCCGUUGUGAAAACUCGAGGCUCAACCUCGAGACGUCGGCGGAAACCCUCUGGCUAGAGUCCGGAAGAGGAGAGUGGAAUUCCUGGUGUAGCGGUGAAAUGCGCAGAUAUCAGGAAGAACACCCGUGGCGAAGGCGGCUCUGUGGGACGGUACUGACGCUGAGACGCGAAAGCGUGGGGAGCAAACAGG